rnacentral:rRNA from 1 species
AAUGAACGCUGGCGGCAGGCCUAACACAUGCAAGUCGAACGCCCCGCAAGGGGAGUGGCGCACGGGUGAGUAACGCGUGGGAAUAUGCCCUUCGGUUCGGAAUAACACAGGGAAACUUGUGCUAAUACCGGAUAAGAUCUACGGAUGAAAGAUUCAUCACCGAAGGAGUAGCCCGCGUAGGAUUAGCUUGUCGGUGAGGUAACGGCUAACCAAGGCGACGAUCCUUAGCUGGUCUGAGAGGAUGAUCAGCCACACUGGGACUGAGACACGGCCCAGACUCCUACGGGAGGCAGCAGUGGGGAAUAUUGGACAAUGGGCGAAAGCCUGAUCCAGCCAUGCCGCGUGAGUGAUGAAGGCCUUAGGGUUGUAAAGCUCUUUCGCCAGGGAAGAUAAUGACGGUACCUGGAAAAGAAGCCUCGGCUAACUCCGUGCCAGCCGCCGCCGUAA